UGUUAGCCAAAGGUGUGUUUAUAAGUGUUGCUAGAUAUGCUUUAGCUACACCUGUAUCUUUUUUCAGAUUAUUAUUUUAACUUAUAACUUUAAAAGCCAUUAGUUCAAGAAAUUCAGCAAGUUUGAUUAUUGACAUUUUUUUUUAAUUAUAUGUCAAAUGAUAAAUAUAAAUCAAACCCUUGGCAGCACCAUACACCUUAAUUAAGCCCAGAUUACAUACGAAUCUGUAAAGAACAUUGGAUGUAGCUAAAACGUUCAAUAGUGCUAAUAACUUAUCUCUUAUAGUAUCUGUAUCUUAGACUAAUUUUGUGUCUAACUUUUACUGAUCAGCUAAUCAGAUAAGAAAAAACAAAUUUAUUAUCAAGUUCUACUGAAGUAUUACAAGUUUCUACUUUUUAAAUAUCAACUAAAUCCCCAAGAUCUUAAGAUACUAAACAGAUCUUAAUCCCCAUGGGUCUUUGUGAAUAGCCAUGUUAGCAUUUUUUGGAAGUCAGCAAAUUUGGUAUUUUAAAAAUGUUUAAUCAAACACUUUCAUUAUUUUUUAUUAGGGCUGGCUUUGAUUUUACUAAAACAUAUUGAUGUUUUUGCAUUAAUUUGCAUACAUUUUUAGUUUUUUUGUACUAUUAAAAUGUAACAGUAAUAGUUUCGGUUCAAAAUUAAAUGUAAGUUAACCAGAAAAUAAUGAAUUUGAAAAAAAUUAAAUAGUUGAAUCCUAUAUAAACAACUAUGAUUAUAUUAGUAAAAUAAAUGUAUUCAGUUAAGAUGUAUUCUAAAUAUGUUUUCAAAUAAAAACUGUUUUAAACAACCAAUAAGUAUUAUUUAAGGUUCUAUCAAAUGUGUAUUAUCAUUAUAUUCUGAACACUAUUGUCGACAUUACUUAUGUCACACAGAAACCAAAGAGUCGCGUCCCAGUAGGUUCAUACUAGUUGAUAUAGCAGUAUU